GAUGAACGCUGGCGGCGUGCCUAAUACAUGCAAGUCGAGCGAACAGACGAGGAGCUUGCUCCUCUGACGUUAGCGGCGAACGGGUGAGUAACACGUGGAUAACCUACCUAUAAGACUGGGAUAACUUCGGGAAACCGGAGCUAAUACCGGAUAAUAUAUUGAACCGCAUGGUUCAAUAGUGAAAGACGGUUUUGCUGUCACUUAUAGAUGGAUCCGCGCCGCAUUAGCUAGUUGGUAAGGUAACGGCUUACCAAGGCAACGAUGCGUAGCCGACCUGAGAGGGUGAUCGGCCACACUGGAACUGAGACACGGUCCAGACUCCUACGGGAGGCAGCAGUAGGGAAUCUUCCGCAAUGGGCGAAAGCCUGACGGAGCAACGCCGCGUGAGUGAUGAAGGUCUUCGGAUCGUAAAACUCUGUUAUUAGGGGAGAACAAAUGUGUAAGUAACUAUGCACGUCUUGACGGUACCUAAUCAGAAAGCCACGGCUAACUACGUG
rnacentral:rRNA from 1 species